AUACGUAGGGGGCGAGCGUUGUCCGAAGUUACUGGGCGUAAAGCGCGCGUAGGCGGGCUGUUAAGUCGGAAGUGAAAGGCUGGGGCUCAACCCCAGCAGUGCUUCCGAUACUGGCAGUCUUGAGGGCGGUAGGGAGAAGUGGAAUGGCUGGUGUAGCGGUGAAAUGCGUAGAUAUCAGUCGGAACACCGGUGGCGAAGGCGGCUUCUUGGGCCGUUCCUGACGCUGAGGCGCGAAAGCCAGGGGAGCGAACGGGAUUAGAUACCCCGGUAGUCCUGGCCGUAAACGAUGGAUACUAGGUGUUGGGGGUAUCGACCCCCCCAGUGCCGCAGCUAACGCAUUAAGUAUCCCGCCUGGGGAGUACGGCCGCAAGGUUGAA
rnacentral:rRNA from 1 species